rnacentral:lncRNA from 1 species
CUGAAUGUUGUUGUUAUUUUACUUAAAUAUAUAUAUAUAUAUAUAUAAUUUUAAAAAUACAGUCAUUAAAAUUGUAUUCUAGAGUGAUUUGUUUUUACAUUUGUUUCUUUGUGUGUGUGUGUGUGUGUAUAUAUAUAUAUAUAUAUAUAUAUAAAAUCUUGUUUGACAUUAGAAAUCAUCACAUAAAUUGCAUGUAUUUACAACAUGAUGUUUAAAUAAUAUGGUCAAGCAUUUGAUUUAUGUUAUGCAAAUUCACAUCAUGGUUGAUGGCAUGAUUUAGGCAUUAUUAUCUCAACUAUGGUAGAGGCUGAAUGUUUAGGUCUUUAUAUUUUCAAAUUAUAUAGAAAGUAAAUUUAAUUUAAUAAAAAUUAUCGAAAAGUUAAUAAAAAUAAGUUGUGGUGACAUUAACAACACCCCUUCAAAGCUGUAAGCUAAUACAUUUAUUAUUAACAGCAUAAAAAUGAAUUGUUUCUUUUCUUGUAUGAUCAAUUAAUAGAAAGUACCCAAUUAAAAAACCCUUGUUGAUUCAACAAAAGUCUUAUUUACUCUAUUCAGCAUUCAAGUAGGUAAGUGUCCCUAAUGAAAUGCUCUUAUAAUUUUAUGUUAGAAUCACAUUAAAGUCAUUUGAUUUCUCCAAUGUAGAUAUUUCUGCAACAUGGUUCAAAAAACAGAUCAAAUCAGAAACAAUCCUUGUGUUCAUAUCACAAUUUUCAAAAACACCAAUGCCAAACUAAAACAUGAUAUCUAAAUCAAGAUCCCCCCAUGAAAGUUCACCAUGUUCAAAUUUAUCUUAUUCUAACACCAGAACUUACAUUCCAACAUUAAAAAUAAAAUAAAAAAUUGCUAUCAUGAAGGGACUGAUCUAAAGGCCCUCAGUAUCUCCAUAUGCUCAUGUCCUACAACACACAACAGUCCAACAUACAACAAUAGCUAGUAAAUAUUGAAGCAUAUUCCAGAUUCUCAUGCAUGACUUUCACUGCAACAUGGGUUGUGUGAAAAAAACCCCAUAAAACUGCAUAAAAACUUUGUCUCCAUUCAUAAAGCCCUGAAGCUUUAUUCCAAGCACACCAACCUUGUACUCAUGCUACAUUACAAAUACUACAUAUAUUCAGGAUUUUUCCCCAGUGAUGCAAGGAAAGCAACUUCAUUUUCCAGAACUCCAAACACCCUUUCCACAACCAUUGACCAGUUCCUGAGGCAAUUCUGCUGGUUACUGUGACAUUGUCAACACCCAUGUACAGUAGAUGCUAGAAGGCGGUGGGUAACAAGUAAGAAGAGUACAUAACAUGUUCCCUUAAUGUUGUGGAUCCAGUACCUGCAACUUCUGGAGCUCCCAUCUCUUGUACAGGAGGUACAAGUCAGCCUAGUGCAAGGGCCGUGUUGAUUCAGCAAGUUCGUGAAGAUAAGCUGCAGGCCACUUGCAUGUGGUAGAAAGGUACCGCAACAGUCAGCCAAGCACAAGUUAGGCUACUUGUUCGGGAGCACGAUUUUCAUAGUUAAUCAAUCAGUCACAAGUUGCAAACUUCUCCUGGGUGAGCUGAGCAAUGCCCUGAAGAGAGCUUUCAACCCAGUACUGGUGCUGUCGUUUUAUAUUCAAGUCAGUGAGCAACAACACUGCACAGGAAACUGAGGUGGACAAUUGACUGUUUACACGAUUCAGUUGUCUACUGCAUCGUAGACUCAUUUUUACGACAGGUUUACCACCGUCAGGAGAUUAAAAGCUUUGAUACCUUUUUACAGAUCAUGCACGAUGUCACUGUAAACAACGACCUAUCUUGCAUGAAGAGAUCUUUCUUGUGUGAGUCAGUCAGACUCACCACGGGUGUUGAAUAAAUGAAUGGACAAAUCAACACAUUCUGCCAAAACCUAAUUCAGGACUUUGACGUUGUUCGCAGCGUGAACGUGUGGGUUUGAUGGGAUGGGAGACUUUACCCUCGAUGCAAAUCAGAAGAGACUGAGCUUGAUCUCAACAAGGUUGUUCUACCAGCACACUUCAAACGAUGACACACUCCACCAAUUCCCUGCUGUAACAAUCCAAGGCCGAGAAGGGCAUACUCUCAACUCUGUGUGUAAGCAGCAAUCACGUCAGGUCCCAUUAGGGUUUCAGAGAACCUGGACGUGCAAAACAGAAGUGCAAGGCCUUCAAACAUGGUAACAACUGGACAAGCUUGAUGAGGACUCUCAAUCGAUACCACAGACCCAUUUGCAUUUUACAACGACAAUCAACCAAAUGACAAAACCCUAAGGUUAACAAUGAAAAUCAACCAUAAACCUCAACAUCCAAACCGUAACAAUACUUCAAAACAACUUUGCUUUACAUUCCUUCAAAAUGAGAAAGUCCCAGUAGCAUACAUCAAGAGGCU